rnacentral:rRNA from 1 species
CCCUAUUAUUGAAAAUGUAAAUAUAAAUGCUUGAGUAUUAGUAGCUAUGUUCUUGAAAUUUAAAGGAUUUGGCGGUAUUAUAGUCUAUUCAGAGGAACCUGUCCUAUAAUUGAUGAUCCACGAUUAAUCUUACUUGUUUUAAAGGUUUGUAUAUCGUCGUAGGUUGAAUGUUUUGAAAGGAAGAGGAAUAUUCAAGAUAUUAGGUUAAAGAGGAAAUCAGAUCAAGAUACAGCGGAUAGACAAGGAGAGAUGGGUUACAAUAAAUUUAUUUAUAUGGUUGAAAUAGUUAACACUAUUUUUUAAAGUGGAUUUGAUUGUAAUAUAGUUUAGUUAAACUAUAUGACUGAAGCUCUUUAAUAUGCAUAUCUCGCCCGUCGCUCCUGCUCUAAAGCAGGAUAAGU